CAGGCCAAUGGAUUUUUAGGAAGACGAACUGCAUAACAUUUACAUAAAUCAGAAACUGUUGAUGGUUGUCUUUCCAUGCAUUGGGACCAUCCAUGAAGGAAGCUAUAAGGCAUCUUUCAUGUAUGAGGGCACUGAUGCUGAACUAAGAACCACGAAGCAGAGGGGUGGCAAGCUGCUUCCAUUUUCCCUAACUUGGAGUAAAAUCUCAGCUAUACACAUGGAUACAGGAACUACAUCACUUGCUGGCGCUGGCCUGUCCUGAGGACAGCAGGAAUUCUCCAUCAGGAUCUUCACCUGCACCUGUCUCUAGUUCCACAGCUGAGGACACACUGGAAUCUACUUCCCUCCAGACCUGAUUCUGUAAGAGCUUCAGGUGGUAAUUAAAUUCAUCAUUAUCUACAUCUAUUUCU
rnacentral:lncRNA from 1 species